UGGAAUAUGCUGUUUUUAAUGGUUAUUCAUAUAUUCUUUGGAUUCCUUUCUAAAAUAAGCCAUUGUUAAAAGAUGGAUAUACAUUACCCAGUGGGCUCUUCUUCCCCUUUAGGUGUAGAAAUGCCUUCCAUGAAGACUAACUGGGAAUUGAGAUGAUCAUAAAUAUUGGGAUUUUAUUAAGUUUGCUAGUAGUUUGUUCACAUUGUUUUUCCAGCAAUUUUAGAA
rnacentral:lncRNA from 1 species